rnacentral:ncRNA from 1 species
AUCAUGUAACUGACGGAAGUGGAUAACCACAGGGAGCAUGGUACGCAUAAGCCGACCGUCUGGGCGA